rnacentral:misc_RNA from 1 species
GCAGUUGUCUACUCUUGCGAGUCUCAUUUUUAUUAUUAUUGUUGUUAUCAUUCUUUUGAUCCGACGAUCGUUUAUUCGUGGUUCUUGAUUGUGGCUUAUUGGUGCUUCCCUUGCGGUGGCCAGCUAUGGCGGUAGUGGUGCUGUUGCUGUUAGAACCACUGACUUUGAUGGUGGAGAAGCAGACACCCAUUUGAUUCUAGCGAUUAUUAGCAAACCUUCAUUAGAUGUUUCGGAGAAACAAUCAUGAGAAAUGUCAUAGGCAAUAGUCUUUGAUGAUAUUUAUAUCAAUAUCUAAUUCAUAAGAGGAUAGAAGAUGGGAUCUUUGGAGAGGAAGAGAAG